AAAAAUUUAAGUUAAAAAAACUAGUGACCUUCAAAGUCAAAUAUAGAAAAAUUUCUAAUUUUUA
rnacentral:tRNA from 1 species